rnacentral:tRNA from 1 species
GCCUUCGUAGUGUAGUGGUCAGCACGCUGGGCGCGUAUUCCAGAGGUCCGUGGUUCGAUUCCUGGCGAGGGCG